UACGACAAAGGCAAACCUAUCGCGAGGUAGGGACGCAAAGCCAUAGGGCCUCUCCAUUUCAGAGAGGCAGCCUGGCUACCGAAA
rnacentral:ncRNA from 1 species